AGUGGGUGCUGAGGAAGGAGCUG
rnacentral:piRNA from 1 species